rnacentral:tRNA from 1 species
GCGGCUGUAGCUCAGUGGCAGAGCGGGUGUCUUAUAAACACCAGGUCGGAGGUUCGAAUCCUCCCAGCCGCA